AGUCGCGUGGUCUAAUGGUUAUGAUAUCUCGUUCACAGUGAGUGAGCAUUCUCCCUACUAGCUAGGCAGUUCCGAGAUGGUUCCCGGUUCGAUCCCGGGCGCGACUA